ACUCAAAUGAAUUGACGGGGGCCCGCACAAGCGGCGGAGCAUGCGGAUUAAUUCGAUGCAACGCGAAGAACCUUACCAAGGCUUGACAUACACCGGAAUCAUCCAGAGAUGGGUGCGCCUUUUGGGCUGGUGUACAGGUGGUGCAUGGUUGUCGUCAGCUCGUGUCGUGAGAUGUUGGGUUAAGUCCCGCAACGAGCGCAACCCUCGUUCCAUGUUGCCAGCAACACUUCGGUGGUUGGGGACUCAUGGGAGACUGCCGGGGUCAACUCGGAGGAAGGUGGGGAUGACGUCAAAUCAUCAUGCCCCUUAUGUCUUGGGCUUCACGCAUGCUACAAUGGCCGGUACAAAGGGCUGCGAUACCGCGAGGUGGAGCGAAUCCCAAAAAACCGGUCUCAGUUCGGAUUGGGGUCUGCAACUCGACCCCAUGAAGUCGGAGUCGCUAGUAAUCGCAGAUCAGCAACGCUGCGGUGAAUACGUUCCCGGGCCUUGUACACACCGCCCGU
rnacentral:rRNA from 1 species